rnacentral:rRNA from 1 species
AGUGAACGCUGGCGGUAGGCCUAACACAUGCAAGUCGAACGGCAGCACAGUAAGAGCUUGCUCUUACGGGUGGCGAGUGGCGGACGGGUGAGGAAUACAUCGGAAUCUACUUUUUCGUGGGGGAUAACGUAGGGAAACUUACGCUAAUACCUCAUACGACCUACGGGUGAAAGCAGGGGAUCUUCGGACCUUGCGCGAUUGAAUUAGCCGAUGUCGGAUUAGCUAGUUGGCGGGGUAAAGGCCCACCAAGGCGACGAUCCGUAGCUGGUCUGAGAGGAUGAUCAGCCACACUGGAACUGAGACACGGUCCAGACUCCUACGGGAGGCAGCAGUGGGGAAUAUUGGACAAUGGGCGAAAGCCUGAUCCAGCCAUGCCGCGUGGGUGAAGAAGGCCUUCGGGUUGUAAAGCCCUUUUGUUAGGAAAGAAAAGCAGCAGGUUAAUACACGGCUGUUCUGACGGUACCCAAAGAAUAAGCACCGGCUAACUUCGUG